GACGAACGCUGGCGGCGUGCCUAAUACAUGCAAGUAGAACGCUGAAGGAGGAGCUUGCUUCUCUGGAUGAGUUGCGAACGGGUGAGUAACGCGUAGGUAACCUGCCUGGUAGCGGGGGAUAACUAUUGGAAACGAUAGCUAAUACCGCAUAAUAGUAGAUGUUGCAUGACAUUUGCUUAAAAGGUGCAAUUGCAUCACUACCAGAUGGACCUGCGUUGUAUUAGCUAGUUGGUGGGGUAACGGCUCACCAAGGCGACGAUACAUAGCCGACCUGAGAGGGUGAUCGGCCACACUGGGACUGAGACACGGCCCAGACUCCUACGGGAGGCAGCAGUAGGGAAUCUUCGGCAAUGGACGGAAGUCUGACCGAGCAACGCCGCGUGAGUGAAGAAGGUUUUCGGAUCGUAAAGCUCUGUUGUAAGAGAAGAACGAGUGUGAGAGUGGAAAGUUCACACUGUGACGGUAUCUUACCAGAAAGGGACGGCUAACUACGUGCCAGCCGCCGCCGUAACAC
rnacentral:rRNA from 1 species